rnacentral:rRNA from 1 species
AUUGAACGCUGGCGGCGUGCCUAACACAUGCAAGUCGAGCGGUAACAGGUGUAGCAAUACAUGCUGACGAGCGGCGGACGGGUGAGUAACGCUUGGGAAUCUGCCUAUUAGUGGGGGACGAACCCGGGGAAACGUCGGGCUAAUACCGCAUACGCUCUACGGAGGAAAGCCGGGACCGCAAGGCCUGGCGCUAAUAGAUGAGCCCAAGUCGGAUUAGCUAGUUGGUAGGGUAANGGCCUACCAAGGCGACGAUCCGUAACUGGUCUGAGAGGACGACCAGUCACACCGGAACUGAGACACGGUCCGGACUCCUACGGGAGGCAGCAGUGGGGAAUAUUGGACAAUGGGCGAAAGCCUGAUCCAGCGACGCCGCGUGGGUGAAGAAGGCCUGCGGGUUGUAAAGCCCUUUCAGUGGGGAAGAAAAGCCUCGACCUAACACGUCGGGGUCUUGACGUAACCCAUAGAAGAAGCACCGGCUAACUCUGUGCCAGCCGCCGCAGU